CAGUUGUCUUCAUAUUGGUCUGUGCAAAGCUGCGGGACGUUGUUCUUCACUUCCCAAGAUAUCCACAACAUGCAUUCUCGAUAACAUCCGUAACGGCAAAU
rnacentral:lncRNA from 1 species